rnacentral:rRNA from 1 species
UACGUAGGGUGCAAGCGUUGUCCGGAAUUAUUGGGCGUAAAGAGCUUGUAGGCGGUUUGUCGCGUCUGCUGUGAAAUUUCGGGGCUCAACCCCGAACUUGCAGUGGGUACGGGCAGGCUAGAGUGUGGUAGGGGAGACUGGAAUUCCUGGUGUAGCGGUGAAAUGCGCAGAUAUCAGGAGGGACACCGAUGGCGAAGGCAGGUCUCUGGGCCACUACUGACGCUGAGAAGCGAAAGCAUGGGGAGCGAACAGG